GGCAGGCCUAACACAUGCAAGUCGAGGGGUAACAUAGUUUGCUUGCAAACUGAUGACGACCGGCGCACGGGUGCGGAACGCGUAUGGAACCUGCCCCUGUCAGGGGAAUAGCCCAGGGAAACUUGGAUUAAUGCCCCAUGGUAUCGUUUUAUCGCAUGAUAUUACGAUUAAAGAUUUAUCGGACAGGGAUGGCCAUGCGUACCAUUAGUUAGUUGGUGAGGUAACGGCUUACCAAGGCAGCGAUGGUUAGGGGCCCUGAGAGGGGGAUCCCCCACACUGGUACUGAGACACGGACCAGACUCCUACGGGAGGCAGCAGUGAGGAAUAUUGGACAAUGGGCGGGAGCCUGAUCCAGCCAUGCCGCGUGCAGGAUGACGGCCCUAUGGGUUGUAAACUGCUUUUAUACGGAAAGAAACGCACCUACGUGUAGGUGUCUGACGGUACCGUAAGAAUAAGGACCGGCUAACUCCGUGCCAGCAGCCGCGGUAAUACGGAGGGUCCGAGCGUUAUCCGGAAUCAUUGGGUUUAAAGGGUCCGUAGGCGGGCCUGUAAGUCAGGGGUGAAAGUUUGUGGCUCAACCAUAAAAUUGCCUUUGAUACUGCAGGUCUUGAGUCAUGGUGGGGUUGCCGGAACAUGUGGUGUAGCGGUGAAAUGCAUAGAUAUCACAUAGAACACCGAUCGCGAAGGCAGGUGACCAACCAUGUACUGACGCUGAUGGACGAAAGCGUGGGUAGCGAACGGGAUUAGAUACCCCGGUAGUCCACGCCGUAAACGAUGGAUACUAGCUGUGGGGACUUCGGUCUCCGUGGCCAAGCGAAAGUGAUAA
rnacentral:rRNA from 1 species